UGGGGAAUAUCGCACAAUGGGCGAAAGCCUGAUGCAGCAACGCCGCGUGAGUGAUGAAGGCCUUCGGGUUGUAAAGCUCUGUCUUUUGGGACGAUAAUGACGGUACCAAAGGAGGAAGCCACGGCUAACUACGUGCCAGCAGCCGCGGUAAUACGUAGGUGGCAAGCGUUGUCCGGAUUUACUGGGCGUAAAGGAUGCGUAGGCGGAUUUUUAAGUGAGAUGUGAAAACCCUAAGCUUAACUUGGGGACUGCAUUUCAUACUGGAAAUCUAGAGUGCGGGAGAGGAGAAUGGAAUUCCUAGUGUAGCGGUGAAAUGCGUAGAGAUUAGGAAGGACACCAGUGGCGAAGGCGAUUCUCUGGACCGUAACUGACGCUGAGGCAUGAAAGCGUGGGUAGCAAACAGGAUUAGAUACCCUGGUAGUCCACGCCGUAAACGAUGAGUACUAGGUGUAGGAGGUAUCGACCCCUUCUGUGCCGCAGUUAACACAAUAAGUACUCCGCCUGGGAAGUACGAUCGCAAGAUUAAAAACUC
rnacentral:rRNA from 1 species